GUGCUUCCAUAAAAGAAAAUUAUGCUCAUCAAGCUUUAUUGUAUCGUGUUUAGGAAACUGUUGAAGACGUCUACCAACAAUAGAAGCGACUGAGCCUGAAUCUUGACAAGGAAGAUUUAUAUGUUCACCACCAGCAUUGGAGUGACUUUCUUCAACCACCUUAGACACAAUGACAAUUAACAAUUUUGCAGAAAAAAAAAUCAACAACAAAACCUUGAACAACUCUAAUACCAUGAAGAGAAAUAUCACAAAAGUUUUAUUAAACCAUUAUGAAAAUAAAAGAAAC
rnacentral:lncRNA from 1 species